AGAAUCAACGCUGGCGGCGUGCCUAACACAUGCAAGUCGAACGAGAAAGUGGAGCAAUCCAUGAGUAAAGUGGCGCACGGGUGAGUAACACGUGACUAACCUACCCUUGAGUGGGGGAUAACCUAGAGAAAUCUGGGCUAAUACCGCAUAAUACCUUCGGGUCAAAGGAGCAAUUCGCUUAAGGAGGGGGUCGCGGCCGAUUAGUUAGUUGGCGGGGUAAUGGCCCACCAAGACUAUGAUCGGUAUCCGGCCUGAGAGGGCGCACGGACACACUGGAACUGAAACACGGUCCAGACUCCUACGGGAGGCAGCAGUGGGAAUUUUGCGCAAUGGGGAAACCCUGACGCAGCAACGCCGCGUGGAGGAUGAAGUCCCUUGGGACGUAAACUCCUUUCGAUCGGGACGAUAAUGACGGUACCGAGAGAAGAAGCCCCGGCUAACUUCGCGCCAGCAGCCGC
rnacentral:rRNA from 1 species